rnacentral:rRNA from 1 species
GAUGAACGCUGGCGGCGUGCCUAAUACAUGCAAGUCGAGCGAACAGACGAGGAGCUUGCUCCUCUGACGUUAGCGGCGGACGGGUGAGUAACACGUGGAUAACCUACCUAUAAGACUGGGAUAACUUCGGGAAACCGGAGCUAAUACCGGAUAACAUGUUGAACCGCAUGGUUCAACAGUGAAAGACGGUCUUGCUGUCACUUAUAGAUGGAUCCGCGCCGCAUUAGCUAGUUGGUAAGGUAACGGCUUACCAAGGCAACGAUGCGUAGCCGAACUGAGAGGGGGAUCGGCCACACGGGAACUGAGACACGGUCCAGACUCCUACGGGAGGCAGCAGUAGGGAAUCUGCCGCAAUGGGCGAAAGCCUGACGGAGCAACGCCGCGUGAGUGAAGAAGGUCUUCGGAUCGUAAAACUCUGUUAUGAGGGAAGAACAAAUGUGUAAGUAACUAUGCACGUCUUGACGGUACCGAAUCAGAAAGCCACGGCUAACUACGUG